UACGUAGGGUGCAAGCGUUAAUCGGAAUUACUGGGCGUAAAGCGUGCGCAGGCGGUUUUGUAAGUCUGUCGUGAAAUCCCCGGGCUCAACCUGGGAAUUGCGAUGGAGACUGCAAGGCUAGAAUCUGGCAGAGGGGGGUAGAAUUCCACGUGUGGCAGUGAAAUGCGUAGAGAUGUGGAGGAACACCGAUGGCGAAGGCAGCCCCCUGGGUCAAGAUUGACGCUCAUGCACGAAAGCGUGGGGAGCAAACAGG
rnacentral:rRNA from 1 species